UACGUAGGGGGGCAAGCGUUGUCCGGAUUCAUUGGGCGUAAAGGGUGCGUAGGCGGCGCGGUAAGUCGGGUGUGAAAUCUCGGAGCUUAACUCCGAAACUGCAUUCGAUACUGCCGUGCUUGAGGACUGGAGAGGAGACUGGAAUUUACGGUGUAGCGGUGAAAUGCGUAGAUAUCGUAAGGAAGACCAGUGGCGAAGGCGGGUCUCUGGACAGUUUCCUGACGCUGAGGCACGAAGGUCAGGGGAGCAAACGGG
rnacentral:rRNA from 1 species